rnacentral:lncRNA from 1 species
CCGAAUGCAGUAGUCCCUCCUCUCGGUAACUGAGAGGACAAGGGCCAUUUUCUAUGCAGAAGCAAAAGCCUUAACCAGCCCCCACCCCUGCCUCUGUGGAUCCCUCAUGGGACCUUGUCCCCUGCUUCAGGAACCAGAUGGGCAAGCAUCAUGCUUUUCCCCAACCUUCUUGGAAUUCCUCCCCGCCCCUGCUGUCUCCCCUAGGCUCUAGCCCCUGAAUUAAAGAGCUGGAGUCCUAGAUUUUACUAAUACAUGGGAGAAGCAGAGCUUGGAGCUUUGAAGCUUGCAACCUGGACCCUCUUGUACCUAUACACCCACUUCCCAGGCACCCUGGAGCUUGUUACUUCUGGAGAGGUCUCCAAAUGACACCCCAAGGACCUACCUCUGUUCUCUGUGAGCACAAACAGAGAUGCAGGGUGCCUAGGGCUCAGAGGACCAGACGGGAGCAGGAACCCAGCCUGCCUAGUUCCCCGUCACUCAUUCCCUUGCUGUGGCCAUAGCUGCCAUUUUCUCCACUGCUUGAAGGCCUCACCUCAUACCCUCUUCCCAACCCCUAUCACUCCCAUAGCGCUCUGUAAACAUGAUUAGGAGGAAAAGGCCUUUCAGCAUGUGUGUUGCUAUGUAUAAAGAAAUUUCCAUCAAUAAAAGCUGAUCUCUUCUCUCUG